UACGGAGGAUGCGAGCGUUAUCCGGAUUUAUUGGGUUUAAAGGGUGCGCAGGCGGCGUGUCAAGUCAGCGGUAAAAUGUCGGGGCUCAACCCCGGCCGGCCGUUGAAACUGGCGUGCUCGAGUUGGAGAGAAGUAUGCGGAAUUCGUGGUGUAGCGGUGAAAUGCACAGAUAUCACGAAGAACCCCGAUUGCGAAGGCAGCAUACCGGCUCCACACUGACGCUGAGGCACGAAAGCGUGGGUAUCGAACAGG
rnacentral:rRNA from 1 species